CAUACUUCCAAGAAAAGCUUGCACUGUCAUAAACAAAUAAUGCCUGUACCAUAACCGACACAGGUGGGUAGGUAGAGUAUACUAAGGGGCGCGAGAUAACUCUCUCUAAGGAACUCGGCAAAAUGACUCCGUAACUUCGGGAGAAGGAGUGCCUUAUUUAUAAGGUUGCAAUAACAAGAUCCAAGCAACUGUUUACCAAAAACACAGGUCUCCGCUAAGUCGUAAGACGAUGUAUGGGGGCUGACGCCUGCCCAGUGCCAGAAGGUUAAAGAAGUUGGUUAGCAUCCGCGAAGCUGAUAACUGAAGCCCUGGUGAACGGCGGCCGUAACAAUAACGGUCCUAAGGUAGCGAAAUUCCUUGUCGGGUAAGUUCCGACCCGCACGAAAGGCGUAAUGAUUUGGAUACUGUCUCGGAGAGGGGCUCGGUGAAAUAGACUUGUCUGUGAAGAUGCGGACUACCUGCACCAGGACAGAAAGACCCUAUGAAGCUUUACUGUAACCUGAAAUUGAAAUUGGACUUUACUUGCGCAGUAUAGGUGGGAGGCGUUGAGAAUAUUCUUGCGGGAUUAUUGGAGCCAUCAGUGAGAUACCACUCUUGUAAUGUUAGAUUUCUAACUUUGUAUCAUUAUCUGGUCAAAGAACAGUUUCAGGCAGGCAGUUUGACUGGGGCGGUCGCCUCCUAAACGGUAACGGAGGCGCACAAAGGUUUCCUCUGAACGGGUAGAAAUCGUAUCUAGAGUGUAAAGGCAUAAGGAAGCUUGACUGUGAGACCUACAAGUCGAGCAGGGACGAAAGUCGGUCUUAGUGAUCUGACGGUGCUGAGUGGAAAGGCCGUCACUCAACGGAUAAAAGUUACUCUAGGAUAACAGGCUGAUCUCCCCCAAGAGUUCACAUCGACGGGGAGGUUUGGCACCUCGAUGUCGGCUCAUCGCAUCCUGGGGCGGUAGUACGUCCCAAGGGUUGGGCUGUUCGCCCAUGAAAGCGGUACGCGAGCUGGGUUCAGAACGUCGUGAGACAGUUCGGUCCAUAUCCGGUGUAGGCGUUAGAAUAUUGAGAGGAGCCUUCUUUAGUACGAGAGGACCGAGAAGGACAUACCUCUGGUGUACCAGUUAUCGUGCCAACGGUAAACGCUGGGUAGCUAUGUGUGGAGUGGAUAACCGCUGAAAGCAUCUAAGUGGGAAGCCCACCUCAAGAUAAGUAUUCUCA
rnacentral:rRNA from 1 species